GGUCAUGGAGGCCAAUCCAGACAUUGAAGUCAUCAGUGCCACUCUCCUUAAUCAGUGAGGCCACAAAGGCACCCUCGGCCUGGGUGAGCACAGACACCAGGUCUCACGGUCUUCAUUAAAGUAGUAGCAGUAGGAGCGAUAGGCAUUGGUGCCUUCUGGGCAGCUGAUCCGGGCCUGGGGCAACUCUGUCUGGGCCUCUUGGCCUGAAAAAGAAGAGACAAUUAAAGGAGGCUCUCAGGGUAAGGAAAAGGCUUGAAGGUGAGGUAAGAGCUUCUGAGGUUCCUUUAUAGAAACAGAAGAAUCCAGUCUAUUAUGGGAUGACUGCUCACUAUUGCUCCUGCAUCCUACAUCUUCUGUCUUUGGUUUCUUUGAUCAGGGGAAAAAAAACAGAAUGAAUAGGCCAAAGAAACAAGUCUCCAGUUUCCCUUUUAUGUCUGGAGCUCAGGCUCUUCUACCUUGAAGGACUCAGCCUUCUACUUUCUCAAGCCUGACUUGGUUUCCCUGAACACAAGGCUCUCUUCAGUUCUCCACCCCAUUAGUGACUGUCUACACACAGACAUCCCCAAAUCCACCAUCACGUAUAAAUUUAAUCAGAUAAACUCAUGCCAACUGCAGCAGUUGCUUAUAAGGGGUCAUUUUAAAUUCUAGCUCCAACUCCUUAAUGAGGUGUGGAUGUAUAUAAAUGUGAAGAGAUCAGCAAUAAAGAUCACUAAACACCACAAAACAACCCUUAACAGUGACUCUGCUUUUUUUUUUUUUUUCAAGUAGACCCGUAUGCUUGGGGAUAGAGUGAAGUCUUCAGGGCUAGAAAGAGUUGGUUGGUGGAAAAGAGAUCUUACCUUGGCUCUGAGACAGAAACAUCAGGCAGGAGAUCAGCAUGAAGUAUGAGCUGGUCUGAGCCAUGCUGAGCUGCAAUGAAUCUCUUGCUUAAGAGGCAAAUCAACA
rnacentral:lncRNA from 1 species